UUGAACGCUGGCGGCAGGCCUAACACAUGCAAGUCGAGCGGAUGAAGGGAGCUUGCUCCUGGAUUCAGCGGCGGACGGGUGAGUAAUGCCUAGGAAUCUGCCUGGUAGUGGGAGAUAACGUCCGGAAACGGGCGCUAAUACCGCAUACGUCCUGAGGGAGAAAGUGGGGGAUCUUCGGACCUCACGCUAUCAGAUGAGCCUAGGUCGGAUUAGCUAGUUGGUGGGGUAAAGGCCUACCAAGGCGACGAUCCGUAACUGGUCUGAGAGGAUGAUCAGUCACACUGGAACUGAGACACGGUCCAGACUCCUACGGGAGGCAGCAGUGGGGAAUAUUGGACAAUGGGCGAAAGCCUGAUCCAGCCAUGCCGCGUGUGUGAAGAAGGUCUUCGGAUUGUAAAGCACUUUAAGUUGGGAGGAAGGGCAGUAAGUUAAUACCUUGCUGUUUUGACGUUACCAACAGAAUAAGCACCGGCUAACUUCGUG
rnacentral:rRNA from 1 species